rnacentral:rRNA from 1 species
AACGAACGCUGGCGGCAGGCUUAACACAUGCAAGUCGAGCGCCCCGCAAGGGGAGCGGCAGACGGGUGAGUAACGCGUGGGAAUCUACCCAGUGGUACGGAACAACCCAGGGGAACUUGGGCUAAUACCGUAUAAGUCCUUCGGGAGAAAGAUUUAUCGCCAUUGGAUGAGCCCGCGUCGGAUUAGCUAGUUGGUGGGGUAACGGCCUACCAAGGCGACGAUCCGUAGCUGGUCUGAGAGGAUGAUCAGCCACACUGGGACUGAGACACGGCCCAGACUCCUACGGGAGGCAGCAGUGGGGAAUAUUGGACAAUGGGCGCAAGCCUGAUCCAGCCAUGCCGCGUGAGUGAUGAAGGCCUUAGGGUUGUAAAGCUCUUUCGGCGGGGAAGAUAAUGACGGUACCCGCAGAAGAAGCCCCGGCUAACUUCGUGCCAGCCGCCGCAGUAAUAC